GCCAAAGUAGUUCAGUUGGGCAAGCGUUAGAUUGAAAAUCUAAAGGUCCCUGGUUCAAUCCUGGGCUUUGACA